rnacentral:misc_RNA from 1 species
CCUCCUUAAAGGAAAUACACAACAUAUCGAUGAUAUGUUUAUCCAUGAGAUACAAAAAGAAACUUAGAGUUUGGAAUUCUUUUUUGUUUACAAUUAAAUGCUUUUAUAAGGUACAUUGGGUCUGUAGCUCAGUUGGUUAGAGCGCACCCCUGAUAAGGGUGAGGUCGGUAGUUCAAAUCUACUCAGACCCACCAUGACAUGGGGCCUUAGCUCAGCUGGGAGAGCGCCUGCUUUGCACGCAGGAGGUCAGGAGUUCGAUCCUCCUAGGCUCCACCAAAUACAGUGUUACCUUACUAGAAGAGAUCUUUAACAAUUUAGGCUAUAGAAAUAACCAAGAAAAUAAGUGCAAACGGUGAAUGCCUUGGCAAUCAGAGGCGAUGAAGGACGUAGUAGCGUGCGAUAAGCUGUGGCUAGCUGGCAAACGAGCAAUGACCCACAGAUUUCCG